rnacentral:rRNA from 1 species
AUUGAACGCUGGCGGUAGGCCUAACACAUGCAAGUCGAACGGCAGCACAGUAAGAGCUUGCUCUUACGGGUGGCGAGUGGCGGACGGGUGAGGAAUACAUCGCAAUCUACUUUUUCUUGGGUGAGAACGUGGGGCAACUUACGCUAAUACCGCAUACGACGUACGGGUGAAAGCAGGGGAUCUUCGGACCUUGCGUGAUUCUAUGAGCCGAUGUCGGAUUAGCUAGUUGGGGGGGUAAAGGCCCACCAAGGCGACGAUCCGUAGCUGGUCUGAGAGGAUGAUCAGCCACACUGGAACUGAGACACGGUCCAGACUCCUACGGGAGGCAGCAGUGGGGAAUAUUGGACAAUGGGCGCAAGCCUGAUCCAGCCAUGCCGCGUGGGUGAAGAAGGCCUUCGGGUUGUAAAGCCCUUUUGUUGGGGAAGAAAAGCAGUAGGUUAAUACCCCGCUGUUUUGACGGUACCCAAAGAAUAAGCACCGGCUAACUUCGUG